UGCAGUCGACGGAACAGGACGCUAUGAUCUCUUCGGAGUGAAUUUGUCGCUGUCGUGUGGCGGACGGGUGAGUAAUGCAUAGGAAUUUGCCUUGAAGUGGGGGAUAGCCCGGAGAAAUCCGGAUUAAUACCGCAUAUGUUCUACGGAACAAAGUGGGCCUCUGAUUUAAGCUCAUGCUUUGAGAUAAGCCUAUGUCGGAUUAGCUUGUUGGUAGGGUAAAAGCCUACCAAGGCGACGAUCCGUAGCUGGUUUGAGAGGAUGAUCAGCCACACUGGGACUGAGACACGGCCCAGACUCCUACGGGAGGCAGCAGUGGGGAAUAUUGGACAAUGGGCGCAAGCCUGAUCCAGCAAUGCCGCGUGUGUGAAGAAGGCCUGCGGGUUGUAAAGCACUUUUAUCGGGAAAGAAAUCCUUGGAGCUAAUACCUUCAAGGCUUGACGGUACCCGAGGAAUAAGCACCGGCUAACUCAGUGCCAGCAGCCGCGGUAAUACUGAGGGUGCGAGCGUUAAUCGGAAUUACUGGGCGUAAAGCGAGUGUAGGCGGCUUCGUAAGUCGGAUGUGAAAGCCCUGGGCUUAACCUGGGAAUGCCAUUCGAUACUGCGCGGCUAGAGUUUGAUAGAGGAAAGUGGAAUUCCAGGUGUAGCGGUGAAAUGCGUAGAUAUCUGGAGGAACAUCAGUGGCGAAGGCGGCUUUCUGGAUCAAAACUGACGCUGAGGCUCGAAAGCGUGGGUAGCAAACAGGAUUAGAUACCCUGGUAGUCCACGCCCUAAACGAUGUCAACUAGACGUUGGCCCC
rnacentral:rRNA from 1 species